GUCCCGCACAAGCGGUGGAGCAUGUGGUUUAAUUCGAUGCAACGCGAAGAACCUUACCUACUCUUGACAUCCAGAGAACUUUCCAGAGAUGGAUUGGUGCCUUCGGGAACUCUGAGACAGGUGCUGCAUGGCUGUCGUCAGCUCGUGUUGUGAAAUGUUGGGUUAAGUCC
rnacentral:rRNA from 1 species